ACUUUUUUAAUGGCACAUGUGAAAUUAAAAAAGAAAUUCUCCACCUCUAAUAUAUCCAACAAUACCUUUUACUUAUUUUCUUUUUUUUUUUAAUAUAAUAUGGGACUUUGCAUUAAAGAAUGGGCCUUGGCCAACAGUUUGUACAAAAACAAAAAGGGGUAAACUAAGGCUACAAUAAAAAAACUCCAACUAACAGAAACUUUUCUUAACCUAACCCAAAACCUAAAUAAACUUUCGUAAAACCCACCAGGCCCCAUUUCCAUACAACCAAUGCCCAACAUUUAACCUGACAAAAAUCUUAAUUACCCGAUUCAAUUCCCAAUAUUUUCUCAUUGAUCAUACUAUCCCUUUUCCAGUUACCAUUUCCAGAUCCUUCUUUUCGUCCUUUCGUUGCCUAAUGACUCUCAUUUUCCUUUUGUCAGACACGAUUUUUAAAUCUCUCUUCUCCUCCCAUUGCUGUUUAGUAGGGAUGUAAAAUACUAAAAUAGCGGCCACUAUAUAGUGGUAAAGCAGCUAUUACUGAAAAUAGCGGUGUGAAGCGGGGCCACACCAAUAGUGGUGGAUCGCGGCUGCAAUUUAACAGAUAACGGCGGCAAUAACGAAUUACUAUUCCCGUUAUUUUUUAUUACAGUAAAAUUAAAAAAAAACCCUACUUCUUUUAAAAAAAAAAAAUCAAUAGAGAUAAAAGAGAAUAUAUUCCUCACCUGUAAAAUCAGAUAGUUUUCAAUAAAAAAAGUAAAAGAAGUCCAAAUACAACAGAAAAAAAGCAAUCAAAAGCAAUGGAAAAAUAUGAAAUUCUCAUAUUUCAGUUUAGACUUUAGACUCUAAACUCCAAAUGAAACAAAAUCACAACACAACAAAGCUACCGUUGAACCCGAGAAACAAACCCUGAUCACUUGCACAUUCGGAGAUUCAUAAUUUCAAGUAAGUAAAGUACCUGAAAUUUUGUAUCUUGAUUCUUGCUUGUUUUUACUGUAAAAUGCAAAUAUUGUUGUAACUUGUAUCAUGCCCGAAAAGCAGUUGAUAGAUUAGUGAAUAGAUAACAAACAAGUCUUGAAAGUUGAAUCUGUAAAUAUAUUCUUUAGGUUUGAUGAGAGAAGGGGAAAGGUUUUGGAAGGAUGGAUGCCUUGUAUGGGACCAAUGGGUUUUGAAAAAAUUUUGUGGGUUCCAAUGGUUUUGUUGUUUUUGAAUUUUUUAGUGACUGACGGUUGAGAGACUUGAGA
rnacentral:lncRNA from 1 species